CCAGAAAGAGAGUACUGGAAGGGCGAUUCUGGAUCUCAGAAGUAACUUUGACACCAACCCUCACUACUUACCGCUCUGAAAUGGGAAAGACAGUGAUGUAGGUGUUACUGGUUGUGCGGAUGGAAUUACAGGGUGCUGUGAAGGAGGCGGGGCACUCAGUGUUUGUUGUUUCUUUGUUUCUGUUGAUGCUGCCUAUUAGUUCAAACUGCACCAUUUUGUGAGCCCCGCCCCAUUUUGCAGACCCUGGUCAAACAGAAACAUUCCACGGGCGUCGGGCCACGAGAAACAUCCUGUCCAACCACCUGACUUUCUUAUCAUCCCCUGCUGGGCAAAGCCCUGCCCGGCAAAGCCCCCAGCUGAAGGAUCAUCCUCAUCAGAUCCUGCUGAGCAAAGAUCCAAGGAACAUUCUAUCACAUCCCCCAAAAAACAGGGCCACACCACCUUGCCUUGGAACAUCUUAUCAACAUCUUCCUGGGAAGCAGGCCAUACCCACCAGGCCCCUCCCGCCCAGGCCUAUAAUUACCCCAGCCUGUAAGCCGAGGUCAGCACUGGCAUUCACCUGGUCCCCCAUCUCUGCAGGUCUUAGGCUGGACAUAGAACCUGAAUCGCUGGAGAGCUGCCAAUUCUCUCUUUCUUUUACCAUCGCCUUCCCUUCCAAACCUAACACUGGACAGAUCCUUGAAACAUGAACAUUCUGGAAACCAAGAAGCUGCCAGGACCCUCACCUGCUUAGCUGGUUUCAUCACCAGCACUGCAGAAAUGCACAAUUAAUUCCUUACUUUAAAAAUGCUCGGUGGAGAGGAGACCACUGGGGAGUAAAAUGCGUGUGAGCAGCAGCGGAGAUGGGCACAGACCAGAAGAGGAAGGAGUGAAGGAUUCUCAUCUCAUGGGCUGUGGAGGCUUCCAGGAAGACCACUUGUUCCAGAGAGAUGACUGUUGCUACACUUCAUAGAGAAUGAAGGGAACAGUGCUAAGAGCCAAGAAUGACAUCUCCAGCUCUAGGUAUUCCACACAACAGAUCCAGGUCAGAGUCUGUCACAAGGAAGCUCUUGGCCGGCCUGCCAAGGAGGAGGAAACGCAAAGCUAUCGCUCCGCCUGCAUUCUCUGUGAGGGAGUCUCCUACAGCACUGUUAUCUGUGGCACAGGUGGGCCAUUUCCACGUAUCCCAAAGCUUCUCCUGUGGAGCCUGGAUUUUGCCCUAAAGGUAAUUUUCUGCAAUAUAGCUUCAUUUUUGAGUGGUAUUUGAAGGCAAAAUAACUAUAAGACUCUGGAAGUUUGAAAAAUCGAUGAAGAAAUCGUGCAGACAGAACACACCACUUGAAGAGCUCCCUAACAUCCCUUCCCCACCGCCCACCUCCCCAGCAAAUCCCUUUCCCACUUUGGAAAGUAAAACAAACCUUCAUUCAAUGAC
rnacentral:lncRNA from 1 species